rnacentral:rRNA from 1 species
ACGUAUGGACCAAGCGUUGUCCGGAAUCAUUGGGCGUAAAGGGUACGUAGGCGGUUAAAUAAGUUAGAAGUGAAAUCCCAUAGCUCAACUAUAGUAAGCUUCUAAAACUGUAUAACUUGAGAAAUGAAAGGGAAAGUGGAAUUCCUAGUGUAGCGGUGAAAUGCGCAGAUAUUAGGAGGAAUACCGGUGGCGAAGGCGACUUUCUGGUCAUAUUCUGACGCUGAGGUACGAAAGCGUGGGUAGCAAACAGG